rnacentral:rRNA from 1 species
UACGUAGGGGCAAGCGUUGUCCGGAUUUAUUGGGCGUAAAGAGCGUGUAGGCGGUUUGGUAGGUCCGCUGUGAAACUCGAGGCUCAACCUCGAGACCGCCGGUGGAAACCAUCAGACUAGAGUCCGGAAGAGGAGAGUGGAAUUCCCGGUGUAGCGGUGGAGUGCGUGAGAGAUCGGGAAGAACAUCAGUGGCGAAGGCGGCCUGCUGGGCUGUUGCUGAGCGCUGA